UAUGUGAUCGUCUCUCGCAUAUCAAUAAGCGGAGGAAAAGAAACUAACAAGGAUUCCCCUAGUAACGGCGAGUGAAGCGGGAAGAGCUCAAAUUUGAAAUCUUAAAGGGUUUCCCUUUACGAAUUGUAGUUUAAAGAAGUGUUUUCUGUUGAGGUUUUGGUAAAAGUUCUUUGGAAUAGGACAUCAUAGAGGGUGAGAAUCCCGUAUUUGACCUUUACUUUCAACUUUGUGAUACACUUUCAAAGAGUCGGAUUGUUUGGGAAUGCAGUCCAAAAUGGGUGGUAAAUUUCAUCUAAAGCUAAAUAUUGGCGAGAGACCGAUAGCGAACAAGUACCGUGAGGGAAAGAUGAAAAGAACUUUGAAAAGAGAGUUAAACAGUACGUGAAAUUGUCAAAAGGGAAGCGUUUGACACCAGUGUUGUUUUUCUGAAAAUCAAUUAAAGAACUGUUUAUGACUAAGUUGUUUAGACUUUAUCAGCUAACUGUUUAGUUUUGAGCUUUUCUUUAAUGCACUUUUCAGUUAACAAGUCAACAUCAAUUUCUUUUGCUGUAAAAAAGCUUGAGGAAGGUGGCUUGAGAUUCGUCUUAAGUGUUUAUAGCCUCUUGCCUAUGCAGUCGGAGAGAUUGAGGUCUGCAGCGUAGAUCCUUCGGGGCUAAAUGCAUUUGUGCUAAGUUAUAGGCAUUUUAUAGACAACUUGUUGACUAUGAUUUGUCUUGUAGCUUACUCGCUUAUGUUAUUUUACCUACGCUUAGGAUGUUGAGUAGCGACAUACGCAC
rnacentral:rRNA from 1 species